GCGGAAGGCUGGAUGAUCGCGGUGACAGCAAUGUUGUCGAGGAAAGUCCGGACUCCAAAAAGUAACGGUGCCGGGUAACGCCCGGGCGGGGUAACCCGACGGACAGCGCCACAGAAAACAGACCGCCUUCGCACGCCGCUUUGCGGUACACGGGGGUAAGGGUGAAACGGUGGGGUAAGAGCCCACCACGUCUUUGGCAACAAAGAUGGUGACGGCAAGCCCCACCAGGAGCAAUGCCAAAUAGGGACCGCGCGUCGCUCAGCCUUCGGGCCGCGGCAGGGCUGCUUUUGCCCCAGCAGGUUCGGGUUGGCAGCUAUAGCCAUAUCGGCAACGGUGUGGUCAGAGGAAUGGUCAUCCAAGAGUGCAGAUCCGUCUGCAUUCGGGACAAAAUCCGGCUUAUAGGCUUUCCGCGUGU
rfam:Sulfitobacter geojensis strain EhN01 A2_Contig12, whole genome shotgun sequence.